rnacentral:rRNA from 1 species
ACAACAGUUGGAAACGACUGCUAAUACCGCAUAAGCCCACGGCUCGGCAUCGAGCAGAGGGAAAAGGAGCAAUCCGCUUUGAGAUGGCCUCGCGUCUGAUUAGCUAGUUGGUGAGGUAACGGCCCACCAAGGCGACGAUCGGUAGCCGGACUGAGAGGUUGAACGGCCACAUUGGGACUGAGACACGGCCCAGACUCCUACGGGAGGCAGCAGUGGGGAAUAUUGCACAAUGGGGGAAACCCUGAUGCAGCGACGCCGCGUGGAGGAAGAAGGUCUUCGGAUUGUAAACUCCUGUUGUUGAGGAAGAUAAUGACGGUACUCAACAAGGAAGUGACGGCUAACUACGUGCCAGCAGCCGCGGUAAAACGUAGGUCACAAGCGUUGUCCGGAAUUACUGGGUGUAAAGGGAGCGCAGGCGGGAGAACAAGUUGGAAGUGAAAUCCAUGGGCUCAACCCAUGAACUGCUUUCAAAACUGUUUUUCUUGAGUAGUGCAGAGGUAGGCGGAAUUCCCGGUGUAGCGGUGGAAUGCGUAGAUAUCGGGAGGAACACCAGUGGCGAAGGCGGCCUACUGGGCACCAACUGACGCUGAGGCUCGAAAGUGUGGGUAGCAAACAGGAUUAGAUACCCUGGUAGUCCACACCGUAAAC